GACGGAGGGUGCUAGCGUUGUUCGGAAUUACUGGGCGUAAAGAGUGCGUAGGCGGUUUUCUAAGUUUGGUGUGAAAUCUCCCGGCUCAACUGGGAGGGUGCGCCGAAGACUGGAAGGCUUGAGUAUGGGAGAGGUAAGCGGAAUUCCUGGUGUAGCGGUGAAAUGCGUAGAUAUCAGGAGGAACACCUGCGGUGUAGACGGCUUACUGGACCAUAACUGACGCUGAGGCACGAAAGCGUGGGUAGCAAACAGG
rnacentral:rRNA from 1 species